UGGCUCUUCAUAAUUCUAAGACUAAUGC
rnacentral:piRNA from 1 species